rnacentral:rRNA from 1 species
CCGGUGGCGGAUGGGCAUGCGGCGCAUUAGCUAGUCGGCGGGGUAACGGCCCACCGAGGCGACGAUGCGUAGGGGUUCUGAGAGGAAGGUCCCCCACACUGGUACUGAGACACGGACCAGACUCCUACGGGAGGCAGCAGUGAGGAAUAUUGGUCAAUGGGCGCGAGCCUGAACCAGCCAAGUCGCGUGAGGGAUGACGGUCCUACGGAUUGUAAACCUCUUUUGCCGGGGAGCAAGCGUGCGUUCGUGAACGCGCGUCGAGGGUACCCGGAGAAAAAGCAUCGGCUAACUCCGUGCCAGCAGCCGCGGUAAUACGGAGGAUGCGAGCGUUAUCCGGAUUUAUUGGGUUUAAAGGGUGCGUAGGCGGGAUGCCAAGUCAGCGGUAAAAAUGCGGUGCUCAACGCCGUCGAGCCGUUGAAACUGGCGUUCUUGAGUGGGCGAGAAGUAUGCGGAAUGCGUGGUGUAGCGGUGAAAUGCAUAGAUAUCACGCAGAACUCCGAUUGCGAAGGCAGCAUACCGGCGCCCUACUGACGCUGAGGCACGAAAGCGUGGGUAUCGAACAGGAUUAGAUACCCUGGUAGUCCACGCAGUAAACGAUGAAUGCUAACUGUCCGGCUCGAAUGAGCGCUGG